UGUAUUGAUAUACCCAAAUGUAGCUCCCUAGUACUUUAUCCAAACUCCCCCAUCGUUACACCGGAACUCCCUCGUCGAUACACUCAAAAUUGCCUCUCUGAUCUCUUUUCUUUUUCAUCUUUGCCGAGUUUAAGAUUAGUGACCGAGUCUCAUUAAAUACCUCUUCAUUAGACCACCAUAAUUAUCAAACCCUAGAGUUCCCAAAACCCCAAGGACAAUUCCGUUGGUCUUUCCGGCACUUCGCCGGCACUUAUUCAAGGACAGUUGCUUCUCCGGCACUUCUCCCGUAUUCCUUCCUCAAAUCCCCAAAUUCAUUUCUUGUUAAGAGGUGGUAACCUUAGAUCUGUUGCUUCAUCUGGUGCAGUUUGCAAGUGAAAUUCUUAUACUUUUUCCUCUGAUAUCUAUGGAUAAUGGUGAUAAAACUUGGAUGAAUCUCUUGAGAUGGACGGAUGAGUAUAUCUGUGGAGUGAAUGAUUUUCUUGAUAAGACAUUUGAACGAGCCGCCCAAGGAAAUAAAAUAUUAUGCCCUUGAAAAAAGUGCAUGAAUCGCUAUUGGUAUUAUAAAAAUAUGGUGGAGGAUCAUUUGGUUGUUCAUGGAUUUGUUGAUGGUUAUACCAAAUGAGUUUUUCAUGGGGAAGGAUUUUUCUUGAGAAAUACACCUCAUCCAAGCAAUGAUGAUGAAGGUUCUACCAUGCGGGACGAUAUUGAUGGACUACUUCAUGAUAUAUUUAGAAAUAUAGAGGGUCGGGCAGGGGAUGAAGAAGGAGUUGGAGAAAGAUUAUCUGAAAAUGCAAAGAAGUUUUUCGAAUUGCUGGAGGAAGUAAAACAAGAGUUAUAUCCAGGGUGUGAAAAUUUCAGUAAACUGAGUUUCACUAUUCGAUUGUACUUGCUUAAAUCCUUGCAUGGAUUGAGUAAUGUGGCUUUCUCUGAUUUAUUAGAGUUGAUAAAAUAGGCAUUUCCCUUUGCUCAAGUACCAGAAUCUUUCAACAAGGCUAGAAACAUGAUAAAAGAUUUGAGUCUUCAUUAUGAAAAAAUAGAUGCAUGCCCUAAUGAUUGCAUGUUAUUUUGGAAAGAAAAUGCGAGUGCCGAUAAUUGCUCGAUUUGUGGGUCUUCAGAUGGAAGUGUGUUGGUCCUUUGACUAAAGCAAGCUCUAAAAUCCCUGCAAAGAUUUUAAGGUACUUUCCUUUAAAGCCUAGGCUUCAGAGGAUAUUCAUGUGUCCUAAAACGGCUGCUGCAAUGAGAUGGCAUGCUAAUAAACUACCCAAUGAUGGUAAUAUAAGACAUCCUGUUGAUGGGGAAGCUUGGAAGGCUUUUGAUUCUUUGCACCCUGACUUCUCUAAAGAUGCUCAGAAUGUUAGAUUGGGUCUUUCAAGUGAUGGUUUCAACUCGUUUCGGACCAUGACCAUUUCUCAUAACACGUGGCCCAUUAUGUUAAUAAACUAUAAUUUAUCACCAUUGAUUUACAUGAAGCCAGAGUAUAUAAUAUUUUCUAUGAUUAUUCCAAGUUCAUCAUCUCCCGAAAAUGAUAUAGAUGUGUACCUACGACCAUUAAUUGAAGAAUUGAAGGAGCUAUGGGAAAUUGGGAUAGAUACAUUUGAUGUUGAAACCAACCAAGCUUUCCAAAUGCAUGAUGCCUUAUUGUGGACAAUUAGAGACUUUCCAGCAUUAGCAAUGCUUUCAGGAUGGAGCACUAAGGAGAGAUUAGCAUGCCCCACUUGAAAUUAUGACACAUGUUCUCAAUAUCUCAAACAUAGUCACAAGAUGUGUUACUUGGCUUAACGAAGAUUUUUGCCUCGUUAUCAUCCAUUCAGAAGAGAUAAGAAGCCUUUUUGAUGGUAAGGAGGAUCAUAGACUUGCACCUGCUCCUUUGUCAGGUGAAGAAGUAUUUGAAGAGCUACUUGAAUUCAACAAUAUCUUUGGGAAGAGCACUAAAAAAGGCCUCGGAGUGAUAAGGGUCCGUGGAAAAAGAGAUUCAUUUUUUUGAAUUGCCAUAUCGGGUGCAUAACAAAUUGAGGCACAAUCUUGAUGUGAUGCACAUCGAGAAAAACAUAUGUGAUAGUUUGCUUGGGAAUUUAUUAGAAAUAGAUGGAAAAUCAAAGGGUCAUGAAAAAUCUCGCUAUGACUUACAGGAAAUGGGGAUACGAAAAGAUAUAUAACCAAGAAUAAAUAAUGAUGGAACUAUAAGUUUGGGUAAAUCUUGUUUCUACAUGGAACCAAAAUAGAAAAGUUUAUU